UAUUGAAUUCUUGGAUGUAGCUUUGUGUUAGCAUCAAUUCCUGGGGUGGGUAUUUAACGUGGAGGUUCUUUGGUAUCAAAGUGCCUUGGACUCACAGCCAUGAAUUACUGGAGCUUAAGAAAGGCAAGUCACCCAUGGAUGUAGUGCAAGCUUUAAUACCUUUUGAACCAACUAGAAGAUUUCAAAGACAUUUAACAGUGCAGAAGAGAUUUGUAAGAUAUGAAACUUCUGUGAACUGUGUGAAAAAAGAUCCCACUGGGUUCAAGGUGAAAUCAUCUGGCAUGUUAAUAGGAUUGAUCUGUAGAAAAUGAUGGACUAAAAAAACCCCACCCAAACCAACAGCGAGCCGCUGUCACACAUCUCAUCAGGGUCAUUGCUGCAGCCUCAAACUCAUCAUUUGUGCUGGGUACAGAGCUCCUGGGGCAAUUCAUUCCUUGCAGAGAGUUGUGAAGACAAGGAAUGUCCAGGAGGCCGAGUGGGGAGUUCACCUUGUGGCCUGCUCAGGAGCCCAGGAGCUGCACAAAGCCGUCAUUCAGAGCACAGGAGUGUUGUCACUGACACAAACACUUUCCAAAACAUUCUUCGCUGCAGUUUUGGUGGAAGGUGUGACACAGCUUCAAAUA